AUAUGAGGGCCUGUUUUAGGGUGUGAAUGGAGAAUGUCUGUGUCUAUAAUAUGAACACCUGUUUUAGGGUGUGAAUGGAGAAUGUCUGUGACUAUAAUAUGAGGGCCUGUUUUAGGGUGUGAAUGGAGAAUGUCUGUGUCUAUAAUAUGAGGGCCUGUUUUAGGGUGUGAAUGGAGAAUGUCUGUGUCUAUAAUAUGAGGGCCUGUUUUAGGGUGUGAAUGGAGAAUGUCUGUGACUAUAAUAUGAGGGCCUGUUUUAGGGUGUGAAUGGAGAAUGUCUGUGUCUAUAAUAUGAGGGCCUGUUUUAGGGUGUGAAUGGAGAAUGUCUGUGUCUAUAAUAUGAGGGCCUGUUUUAGGGUGUGAAUGGAGAAUGUCUGUGAGUUUGUUUGUGAAGGGAGACAUGUUUGGUCUAUUUCAGCAUGUGUUCAGACAGGGUUUCCUCUUUGCAACCAGAACAGAUGCCUUUUGAAGCCUUUCAUGUCUGUGAGUGUCUGUAUGUGUGUGUGUCUGUGUGUCUGUGUGUUUCAUCAUGUCUUUGUCUGAGUCUAUUGCCAUAUGUUUCUGUCACUGCCUAUAUGUUACCUUGUCCAUGUCUGUGUGUAUACGUCUGCCGUCUGUCCGUCUGUGUGUGUACCUGGUACAUUCACAGACACAGUACAGUGUAGCUCAGACUUCAAGAGCAGAGUAGUAAAAGCCCACUUCAAUCGAGGCCUGUUCUGUGUUCUCAGACACUUCGAUAGAGGCCUGUUCUGUGUUCUCAGUCACUUAAAUAGAGGCCUGUUCUGUGUUCUCAGUCACUUAAAUAGAGGCCUGUUCUGUGUUCUCAUUCCCUUCGAUAGAGGCCUGUUCUGUGUUCUCAUUCACUUAAAUAGAGGCCUGUUCUGUGUUCUCAGUCACUUAAAUAGAGGCCUGUUCUGUGUUCUCAGUCACUUAAAUAGAGGCCUGUUCUGUGUUCUCAGACACUUAAAUAGAGGCCUGUUCUGUUCUGGUUGUUUUCUAAAUGAAACGCUAUGAUUUAAUGAACUUCCUGUUCUGAACGCAGGGUGAGAUGUUUAUUAUUGUGAUUUGCGCACUGGAUUCUUUGAUGCCUUUUCUAAUAUGACACACACACUUUCAAACCACUCUCACAAAACACACACUCAUACACUGACACACACACUUUCAAACCACUCUCACAAAACACACACUCAUACACUGACACACACACUUUCAAACCACUCUCACAAAACACACACUCAUACACUGACACACACACUUUCAAACCACUCUCACAAAACACACACUCAUACACUGACACACACACUUUCAAACCACUCUCACAAAACACACACUCAUACACUGACACACACACUUUCAAACCACUCUCACAAAACACACACUCAUACACUGACACACACACUUUCAAACCACUCUCACAAAACACACACUCAUACACUGACACACACACU